rnacentral:rRNA from 1 species
UAGAGCUCAAAUUUGAAAUCUAGCACUUUCAGUGUUCGAGUUGUAAUUUGAAGAAGGUAACUUUGGAGUUGGCCCUUGUCUAUGUUCCUUGGAACAGGACGUCACAGAGGGUGAGAAUCCCGUGCGAUGGGGUGUCCAACUCUAUGUAAAGUGCUUUCGAAGAGUCGAGUUGUUUGGGAAUGCAGCUCUAAGUGGGUGGUAAAUUCCAUCUAAAGCUAAAUAUUGGCGAGAGACCGAUAGCGAACAAGUACAGUGAUGGAAAGAUGAAAAGAACUUUGAAAAGAGAGUGAAAAAGUACGUGAAAUUGUUGAAAGGGAAGGGCUUUAGAUCAGACUUGGUGUUUAGUACUCUUCACUCCUUGUGGGUGGGGCUCUUGCUUUAUACUGGGCCAGCAUCGGUUUGGAUGGUAGGAUAAUAGCAUUGGAACGUGGCUUCGCUUCGGUGGAGUGUUAUAGCCUUUGUUGAUACUACCUAUCUAGACCGAGGACUGCGUCUUUUGACUAGGAUGCUGGCGUAAUGAUCCAAAGCC